rnacentral:rRNA from 1 species
AUUGAACGCUGGCGGAAUGCUUUACACAUGCAAGUCGAGCGGCAGCGCGGGGCAACCUGGCGGCGAGCGGCGAACGGGUGAGUAAUGUAUCGGAACGUGUCCUUGAGUGGGGGAUAGCCCGGUGAAAACCGGAUUAAUACCGCAUGAGCUCGAGAGAGGAAAGCGGGGGAUCGCAAGACCUCGCGCUGGAGGAGCGGCCGAUAUCAGAUUAGCUAGAUGGUGAGGUAAAGGCUUACCAUGGCGAUGAUCUGUAGCUGGUCUGAGAGGAUGAUCAGCCACACUGGGACUGAGACACGGCCCAGACUCCUACGGGAGGCAGCAGUGGGGAAUUUUGGACAAUGGGGGCAACCCUGAUCCAGCCAUUCCGCGUGAGUGAAGAAGGCCUUCGGGUUGUAAAGCUCUUUUGUCGGGGACGAAACGGUUUUAGCUAAUAUCUAAGACUACUGACGGUACCCGAAGAAUAAGCACCGGCUAACUACGUG